CAACCCCCUGUUCCACCAGGCUGCCAGCCGCAUGCCGGCCAAGGGCGGGGCUCCAGCCCCAUCCAGGGGCCCCCAAGAGCUGGUCCCCACCACCCACCCAGGCCAGCCCGCCGGACACCCGGCCUCCUCGGUGGCUCUGAAGAGGCCGCCCCCUGCUCCUCCGGUCACUGUGUCCAGCCCACCCUUCCCAGUUCCUGUCUACACCCGGCAGGCACCAAAGCAGGUCAUCAAGCCGACGUUCGCGCCCCCAGUGCCCCCAGUCAAACCCGGGGCUGGUGCGGCCAACCCUGGUCCAGCUGAGGGUGCUGUUGGCCCAAAGGUUGCCCUGAAGCCCCCCAUCCAGAGGAAGCAAGGAGCCGGAGCUCCCACAGCACCCUAGGGGGGCACCUGCGCCUGUGUGGAAAUUUGGAGAAGUUGCGGCAGAGAAGCCAUGCGUUCCAGCAUUCCACGGUCCAGCUAGCGCCGCUCAGCCCUAGACCCUGCCUUUGCAGGCUCAGCUGCUGUUCUAACCUCAGGAAUGCAUCUACCUGAGAGGCUCCUGCUGUCCAUGCCCUCAGCCAAUUCCUUCUCCCCGCCUUGGCCACAUGUAGCCCCAGCUGUCUGCAGGCACCAGGCUGGGAUGAGCUGUGUGCCUGUGGGUGCGUGUGUGUGUACGUGUCUCCAGGUGGCCGCUGGUCUCCCCCUGUGUUCAGGAGGCCACAUAUACAGCCCCUCCCAGCCACACCUGCCCCUGCUCUGGGGCCUGCUGAGCCGGCUGCCCUGGGCACCCGGUUCCAGGCAGCACAGACGUGGGGCAUCCCCAGAAAGACUCCAUCCCAGGACCAGGUUCCCCUGCGUGCUCUUCGAGAGGGUGUCAGUGAGCAGACUGCACCCCAAGCUCCCGACUCCAGGUCCC
rnacentral:lncRNA from 1 species